GAUGAACGCUGGCGGCGUGCUUAACACAUGCAAGUCGAACGAUGAUGCCCAGCUUGCUGGGUGGAUUAGUGGCGAACGGGUGAGUAACACGUGAGUAACCUGCCCUUGACUCUGGGAUAAGCCUGGGAAACUGGGUCUAAUACCGGAUACGACCAUCUGGCGCAUGUCAUGGUGGUGGAAAGCUUUUGUGGUUUUGGAUGGACUCGCGGCCUAUCAGCUUGUUGGUGGGGUAAUGGCCUACCAAGGCGACGACGGGUAGCCGGCCUGAGAGGGUGACCGGCCACACUGGGACUGAGACACGGCCCAGACCCCUACGGGAGGCAGCAGUGGGGAAUAUUGCACAAUGGGCGCAAGCCUGAUGCAGCGACGCCGCGUGAGGGAUGACGGCCUUCGGGUUGUAAACCUCUUUCAGUAGGGAAGAAGCGAAAGUGACGGUACCUGCAGAAGAAGCGCCGGCUAACUACGUG
rnacentral:rRNA from 1 species